AUUGAACGCUGGCGGCAGGCCUAACACAUGCAAGUCGAGCGGAUGAUGGGAGCUUGCUCCUGGAUUCAGCGGCGGACGGGUGAGUAAUGCCUAGGAAUCUGCCUGGUAGUGGGGGACAACGUUUCGAAAGGAACGCUAAUACCGCAUACGUCCUACGGGAGAAAGCAGGGGACCUUCGGGCCUUGCGCUAUCAGAUGAGCCUAGGUCGGAUUAGCUAGUAGGUGAGGUAAAGGCUCACCUAGGCGACGAUCCGUAACUGGUCUGAGAGGAUGAUCAGUCACACUGGAACUGAGACACGGUCCAGACUCCUACGGGAGGCAGCAGUGGGGAAUAUUGGACAAUGGGCGAAAGCCUGAUCCAGCCAUGCCGCGUGUGUGAAGAAGGUCUUCGGAUUGUAAAGCACUUUAAGUUGGGAGGAAGGGCAGUAAGUUAAUACCUUGCUGUUUUGACGUUACCGACAGAAUAAGCACCGGCUAACUUCGUGCCAGCAGCCGCGGUAAUAC
rnacentral:rRNA from 1 species